rnacentral:rRNA from 1 species
GACGAACGCUGGCGGCGUGCUUAACACAUGCCAGUCGAACGGAAAGGCGCUGCUCUUGUGGGGUGCUCGAGUGGGGAACGGGUGAGUAACACGUGAGUAUCCUGUCCUUGACUUUGGGAUAACUUUAGGAAACUGGGGAUAAUAUCGGAUAGGAGCUCCUGCUGCACGGUGGGGGUUGGAAAGUUUCGGCGGUUGGGGAUGGACUCGCGGGUUAUCAGCUUGUUGGUGGGGUAGUGGCUUACCCAGGCUUUGACGGGUAGCCGGCCUGAGAGGGUGACCGGCGACAUUGGGACUGAGAUACGGCCCAGACUGCUACGGGAGGCAGCAGGGGGGAAUAUUGCACAAUGGGCGGAAGCCUGAUGCAGCAACGCCGCGUGCGGGAUGACGGCCUUCGGGUUGUAAACCGCUUUCGCCUGUGACGAAGCGUGAGUGACGGUAAUGGGUAAAGAAGCACCGGCUAACUACGUG